CCUACGGGUGGCAGCAGUGAGGAAUAUUGGUCAAUGGACGAGAGUCUGAACCAGCCAAGUAGCGUGAAGGAUGACUGCCCUAUGGGUUGUAAACUUCUUUUAUAUGGGAAUAAAAUGUUCCACGUGUGGGAUUUUGUAUGUACCAUAUGAAUAAGGCUCGGCUAACUCCGUGCCAGCAGCCGCGGUAAUACGGAGGAUCCGAGCGGUAUCCGGAUUUAUUGGGGUUAAAGGGAGCGUAGGUGGAUUGUUAAGUCAGUUGUGAAAGUUUGCGGGUCAACCGUAAAAUUGCAGUUGAAACUGGCAGUCUUGAGUGCAGUAGAGGUGGGCGGAAUUCGUGGUGUAGCGGUGAAAUGCUUAGAUAUCACGAAGAACUCCGAUUGCGAAGGCAGUUCACUGGACUGCAACUGACACUGAGGCUCGAAAGUGUGGGUAUCAAACAGGAUUAGAUACCCGAGUAGUC
rnacentral:rRNA from 1 species